CAGGCAUGCACCACCAUUUUUUAUAUGUUUUGCAGAGAUGAAGUCUCGCCAUGUUGCCCAGGCUGGUCUUGAACUCCGGGGUUCAAGCAAUUUGCCUGCCUCGGCCUCCCAAGGUGUUGGAGUUACAGUCGUGAGCCCCCACACCCUGCCAAGGCUUGUUUUCUAGAUAUUUGAGUAAAAUAAUGGUUCUUCUGCAAAUGAGGCUCCACUGAGGUUAAU
rnacentral:lncRNA from 10 species